AGCUCCAAUAGCGUAUAUUAAAGUUGCUGCAGUUAAAAAGCUCGUAGUUGCAUUUCCGAGGCAAGGGAUUAGUCCGACCUUUGGUGGGUAUUUAAUCCUCUUGCCUCGUCCUUGAGUGGUGCUUCUUGGUAUUAAGUUAUCGAGGAGAUAGCCGCUCAUCGUUUACUGUGAGAAAAUUAGAGUGUUCAAAGCAGGCUUAUGCCGUUGAAUAUAUUAGCAUGGAAUAAUAAGAUAGGACCUCGGUACUAUUUUGUUGGUUUGAGAACCAAGGUAAUGAUGAAUAGGGACAGUUGGGGGUAUUCGUAUUCAGUUGUCAGAGGUGAAAUUCUUAGAUUGUGUUGCGACGAACUACUGCGAAAGCAUUUGCCAAGGAUGUUUUCA
rnacentral:rRNA from 1 species